rnacentral:rRNA from 1 species
UAGUCCACGCCGUAAACGAUGAUUACUCGCUGUAGGCGAUACACAGUCUGUGGCUAAGCGAAAGUUUUAAGUAAUCCACCUGGGGAGUACGAUCGCAAGAUUGAAACUCAAAGGAAUUGACGGGGGCCCGCACAAGCGGAGGAACAUGUGGUUUAAUUCGAUGAUACGCGAGGAACCUUACCUGGACUUAAAUGUAGAUUGCAUAGAGUGGAGACAUUCUUUUCUUCGGACUAUUUACAAGGUGCUGCAUGGUUGUCGUCAGCUCGUGCCGUGAGGUGUCGGGUUAAGUCCCAUAACGAGCGCAACCCUUAUCCUUAGUUGCCAGCGGGUCAUGCCGGGGACUCUGAGGAGACUACCACCGUAAGGUGUGAGGAAGGUGGGGAUGACGUCAAAUCAGCACGGCCCUUAUGUCCAGGGCUACACACGUGUUACGAUGGUAAAUACAGAGGGCAGCGAAGGGGUGACCUGGAGCCAAUCUCAGAAAGUUUAUCUCAGUUCGGAUUGGAGUCUGGAA